rnacentral:rRNA from 1 species
UAGGGAAUCUUCCGCAAUGGGCGAAAGCUUGACGGAGCAACGCCGCGUGAGUGAAGAAGGUCUUCGGAUCGUAAAACUCUGUUAUUAGGGAAGAACAAAUGUGUAAGUAACUAUGCACGUCUUGACGGUACCUAAUCAGAAAGCCACGGCUAACUACGUGCCAGCAGCCGCGGUAAUACGUAGGUGGCAAGCGUUAUCCGGAAUUAUUGGGCGUAAAGCGCGCGUAGGCGGUUUUUUAAGUCUGAUGUGAAAGCCCACGGCUCAACCGUGGAGGGUCAUUGGAAACUGGAAAACUUGAGUGCAGAAGAGGAAAGUGGAAUUCCAUGUGUAGCGGUGAAAUGCGCAGAGAUAUGGAGGAACACCAGUGGCGAAGGCGACUUUCUGGUCUGUAACUGACGCUGAUGUGCGAAAGCGUGGGGAUCAAACAGG